CUCCUGAUAGCUCAGUUGGUAGAGCGAUGGACUGUAAUUGAAACCGUUUGGAGAUCCACAGGUCGCGUGUUCGACUCACGCUCGGGAGA
rnacentral:tRNA from 1 species